AUGAGAUGAACGAGCUCCUCCUGAACCUUCAUUUAGAGCCUCAUUUAAAUACAGAAUGAGUUCAUUUGCAUAUUGAUCAGAUGCUUCAGUGCUCUGAGAGUGUUUAUAGUGCUGUGAGUUUAACACUUCAUCACUGACACACACAACAAUCUUCAUCAACAUGACCUUCAUCAUCAUCUUCAUCUGGACUCUCACAGCGUUUGCUCAAGAGUGUAGAGGACAGAUCACCGUCACUCAGAGUCCCUCAAUGACAGCAGCUCAACCAGGACAAACUGUGAACAUCAACUGUAAAACCAGCAGUAAUGUGUACAAAUAUAGUGAUGGUGAUGAAACUUUAGCCUGGUACUUACAGAAACAUGGAGAAGCUCCUAAACUCCUGAUUUAUUAUGCAAAAAAACUCCAGUCAGGAACUCCAUCUAGAUUCAGUGGCAGUGGAUCUAACAGUGAUUUCACUCUGACCAUCAGUGGAGUCCAGACUGAAGAUGCUGGACAUUAUUACUGUCAGAGUUAUCACAGGGGUGGUGUGUUCACACAGUGA